GAUGAACGCUGGCGGCGUGCUUAACACAUGCAAGUCGAACGAGAAGUGGAGACGGAAACCUUCGGGCGGAAGACUUUAUUUCGAGUGGCGGACGGGCGAGUAACGCGUGGGUAACCUGCCUCAUACAGGGGGAUAACAGUUGGAAACGACUGUUAAUACCGCAUAAGACCACAGCACCGCAUGGUGCGGGGGUAAAAACUCCGGUGGUAUGAGAUGGACCCGCGUUCGAUUAGCCAGUUGGCGGGGUAACGGCCCACCAAAGCGACGAUCGAUAGCCGAUCUGAGAGGAUGACCGGCCACAUUGGGACUGAGACACGGCCCAAACUCCUACGGGAGGCAGCAGUGGGGAAUAUUGCACAAUGGGGGAAACCCUGAUGCAGCGACGCCGCGUGAGUGAAGAAGUAUUUCGGUAUGUAAAGCUCUAUCAGCAGGGAAGAAAAUGACGGUACCUGAGUAAGAAGCCCCGGCUAACUACGUG
rnacentral:rRNA from 1 species